rfam:Neotoma lepida isolate 417 scaffold_914, whole genome shotgun sequence.
UGUGCAUUGUGGUCAAAUGCUCAGACUCCUGUGGUGGCUGCUUAUGCACCACGAAUGUUUGAGCAUGUGCUAUGAUAUCUU